AUGUUAGGUAGGUUCCUUUUACAUAAAACAGAAAAUGAAGCUAUUUUAUUUUAUAUGUUGAGAAAAUCAAUUAGAACAAGAGGUAUCAGUGACCAGCAUCAGGACAAUUCCAAUAUGCAAGGACCACUGGUCUGUGUUUUUGUUCCAGUGCUGACUCACCAGCUGUGUGAUCUUGAGUAUGUCACAUAAACAUCGAGUUCCUACCAGGAUGUUACUUGUGCUUGCAUUCCGGUGGUGAUACCAGGAGAGACCGUUUUCCUUUCCUAUUCUGUAUUUUCCAGUUUUUAGAAAAUGAUCAUGAAUCACUUUUAAUGAUGGCAAAUAACCAAUAUGAAACUAUACAAAAUUCGUUCAUUCUCUUUAUAAGAAAAAGGUGCAAACCAGUAUGGACGUUUGGAAAUUAUUAUUCUGGUGAGGAAAUAAUUUUAAACAGAAUGUAAAGAUGUUUUUAUGUAUGUAUUUAGCUGCACCAGGUCUUCACUGUAGCAUAAAGGACGUUUUAGUUGAAGCAUGCGCACUCUUAAGUUGCGGCAUGUGGGAUGUAGUUCCUUCCCUGACCAGGGAUGGAUGGAUGCCAGAGGAAUAACAUGAAUCCAACAGGGAAACCCAAAUCAGGACCCUCUGCAUUGGGAGCGAGGAGUCUUAGCCAAUGGACCACCGGGGAAGUCCCCACAGAUGUUUUUUAUAUUGGAAAUUCCUCCUCUAUUGAGUUUUCAAAUAGGAAAGCCUUUUUAUGAGUCCUUUGCUCAAAAAAAGUACUUUUUUUUCCUUUCACAAUUAAUAAGUAUUGGGGAGUUGCUGUGAGUGUAUAUAACUAUCUUGUUUUUCAGUAUGAUAUAAAUUCAUGGAAUCGUAUUUUAUUCAACAGAUUAUAAUCUAUUAGCAUGAUUAUUUAUUUUGAUCCUCAAACUGUCCCAAAUCUGACCAGUGGGAGCCCCUUCAAGCUCUGUAUUUUUUGACACAUCCCCAUCAAAAGCCGUAUAGACAGAAUCUUCUUCAGGUGUUCAAAUGAAUAUCACCAGGAUACAAUGAGAAAAAUACAAAUCAGUUGUGAGUUAUAAAUGCCGAAGAAGAUGAAUAACCUGAAUCCAACAAAGAAUCCCAAAUCAAGACACAUUCUACAGAAUACUGUGAGAGAUCUUAAGUGUCAGUGUUUUUCAAAACUAGUCUUUCCAGUCAAAGAAAGACUAAAGAAUUGUUCUAGAUUGAAGGAAACUAGAGACAUGUGACAACUAAAUAUCACAUGUGGUUCUGAACUGGUGUCGAGACCAGCUCGACAAGCGGGGUUUCCGCAAGUGUGAUACGGCGAGAGAAUGAGAAACGAGACACUAGAAUUCAGAGAAAAGCGAGGAUCAGGGAACCAACACCGCUCCAAGGUGAAGGUCCCGAAACUGAAUCCAAGCAGCUUUAUUAGACUUCCAGCCGUGAAUGAAAGAAUGUGCAGGGAGUUAAAUUAUAACUCAUGUGGACUUCAGGGCCAAAGAACAAAAUGAUCAUUAACCAUUGAGUAAUUAGGAAACAGUAAUCAAUAACAAAUCAGUAACUAAGACUAAUAUUCUUAUCUAUAGAUUUUCCAUCAGAUACGUAAAACAUGUGGCUCUGAGACGCCAGUUGAGAAACAGUCUGGGGUCAGUUUUCCGACCCCAGGAUCAUAUCUUGUUUUCAAGAUUAUGAACUGUUCCCUCUGGACUUGUUCCAAGAGUCUCAUACCUUAUAGCAUCCAGUUUAUCAAUAAUUAUAAAUUUCUUUUGCGGCCCUUGCUGGGGCCUGCUUUUCUUUUAUUCUUCCUGUCUCCUACAAACUGGAUCCUUUUACUUUAAAGGAUAAAUUUGAACAGGUGAAACUUGAAUGGCAUCUGAAUGGCAUUAGAUCAUAGUAAUGUUUCAGUGUUAAUUUCCUGGCUUUGAUAGUUGUAUUAGGUUAUGAGAAGAAUGUCCUUGAUUGUAGGAAGUAUACUAAACAUCUAGAGGUGAGGAGGCAUUAUGUAGACAACUUAUUCUCAAAUAUUUCAGGAAAAGUAAUUUUUUUCUUCUGUUCUUGCAAGUUUGAGAUGGUUUCCAAAUAAAAAGUAAAAACCAGAAGU
ensembl:lncRNA